CUACUUACUCGGCAGGGGAGACAGCAGGACACAAGGGCAUCACAGUUUUCCCAGGGCCAGCUCACCCACUGCCCUCCAGAUGUGCUCACCCCUGUGAUUUCCCCGAAUGUGGGAAACUCCGCUCUGUGAUUGGUGGCAGUGGGGUAUGUGGGUGCUUUCCCCUG
rnacentral:snRNA from 1 species